rnacentral:lncRNA from 1 species
GCUCUAUGGGGUAGAGACGCUAGGCCGGCACUGCCUAGGUGGGCCGGGCGGUGCGAGGGUCGCCUUUCAGCCUUUACCUCUACCCACUGAAAUGGAGUAGGUCGGUGAGCGCCGAUCUGCUGGAGAAUCUCAUUAUCCCAUCGGCGCUCUGCCUGCUCCUGGCCUCCAAGCCUCUGAAGCCCCUCGGGUUUCAGCUGCCGGCUACCCUCGAGCCCGUGGUGCCCACGAGAGAGGCGACUUUACGUCAGCGGCCCUGGGCUGAGAUUUGAGAACGCGACCAAGUGGAGAAUGUUGGAGCCAGAUUUUAAAAUCCUUGUCUUCCUUCUGCGUGCUACUUGAUCUAAAUGAGAUACGGCAAAGUCACAGAACCUGUUUUUAUGUUUUUGCCUGAUUCAUACGGGCUUCUCCGGUGAAGAUGGGCCUGAAGUAACGCUUGGGUUGCUUCUGACGUUAUAACUCAUCCUGUAGCUGCAGCAACCGUGGUCCUUGCAACCUCAUAAAAAUGUUGCCAGCAUUGUUUCGAUAGUGCUGCUUAAUUCUUGGAAGGUUCUUCGGACUUCACACAUUCCAGCAGUAGCUCUCUCAGCUCCUGUCCUGCACAGCUUUGAAGUGCUGUAGCAAAGUGUCAUCAAUGAGGAAUGGUGCCUCACCAGAAACUGAUUUUGCGACUGCCUUGAUCUUGGACUUCUCAGCCUCUAGAACUAUGAUAAAAUAAAAUUCUAUUAUUAUAAAUU